rnacentral:rRNA from 1 species
GUCGGUUAAAUACCGACCUGCAUGAAUGGCGUAACGAGAUGGGAGCUGUCUCAAAGAGGGAUCCAGUGAAAUUGUAGUGGAGGUGAAAAUUCCUCCUACCCGCGGCAAGACGGAGAGACCCCGUGGACCUUUACUACAGCUUGACACUGCUAUUUGGAUAAGAAUGUGCAGGAUAGGUGGGAGGCUUUGAGUAUAUGACGCCAGUUGUAUAUGAGCCAUUGUUGAGAUACCACUCUUUCUUAUUUGGGUAGCUAACCAGCUUGAGUUAUCCUCAAGUGGGACAAUGUCUGGUGGGUAGUUUGACUGGGGCGGUCGCCUCCCAAAUAAUAACGGAGGCUUACAAAGGUUGGCUCAGAACGGUUGGAAAUCGUUCGUAGAGUAUAAAGGUAUAAGCCAGCUUAACUGCAAGACAUACAAGUCAAGCAGAGACGAAAGUCGGUCUUAGUGAUCCGGUGGUUCUGUGUGGAAGGGCCAUCGCUCAAAGGAUAAAAGGUACCCCGGGGAUAACAGGCUGAUCUCCCCCAAGAGCUCACAUCGACGGGGAGGUUUGGCACCUCGAUGUCGGCUCAUCGCAUCCUGGGGCUGGAGCAGGUCCCA